rnacentral:rRNA from 1 species
AAUGAACGCUGGCGGCGUGCCUAACACAUGCAAGUCGAACGAGAAAGCGGGCUUCGGCCCGUGAGUACAGUGGCAGACGGGUGAGUAACACGUGGGUAAUCUGCCCGGAGGUGGGGGAUAACGUCCCGAAAGGGGCGCUAAUACCGCAUGAUAUCUUGAGCUCUUCGGGGCACGAGAUCAAAGCUUGCCUCUUCUUGAAAGCAAGUGCCACCGGAGGAACCCGCGCCCCAUUAGCUUGUUGGUGAGGUAACGGCUCACCAAGGCUCCGAUGGGUAGCCGGCCUGAGAGGGUGAUCGGCCACACUGGAACCGAGACACGGCCCAGACUCCUACGGGAGGCAGCAGUGAGGAAUUUUGCGCAAUGGGCGAAAGCCUGACGCAGCGACGCCGCGUGGAGGAGGAAGGUCUUCGGAUCGUAAACUCCUGUCAAGAGGGACGAAUCCGGAGGGGAUGAAUAAGCCCCUUCGUUGACGGUACCUCUGAAGGAAGCCCCGGCUAACUCCGUGCCAGCAGCCGCGGUAAUACGGAGGGGGCUAGCGUUGUUCGGAAUUAUUGGGCGUAAAGGGCGCGUAGGCGGCCCGGCAAGUCAGUGGUGAAAGCCCUCGGCUCAACCGAGGAAUUGCCAUUGAUACUGCCGGGC